rnacentral:rRNA from 1 species
AUACGUAGGGUGCAAGCGUUAAUCGGAAUUACUGGGCGUAAAGCGUGCGCAGGCGGUUUUGUAAGACAGUGGUGAAAUCCCCGGGCUCAACCUGGGAACUGCCAUUGUGACUGCAAGGCUGGAGUGCGGGAGAGGGGGAUGGAAUUCCGGGUGUAGCAGUGAAAUGCGUAGAUAUGCGGAGGAACACCGAUGGCGAAGGCAAUCCCCUGGGCCUGCACUGACGCUCAUGCACGAAAGCGUGGGGAGCAAACAGGAUUAGAUACCCUGGUAGUCCACGCCCUAAACGAUGUCAACUGGUUGUUGGGGAUUUAUUUUCUCAGUAACGAAGCUAACGCGUGAAGUUGACCGCCUGGGGAGUACGGCCGCAAGGUUAAAACUCAAAGGAAUUGACGGGG